UUAAACCGGGAAGCAGCCAGUAAUCCACCCAAUGGCAGCAGAUUAUGUUCCCCACCGACUCAGGAAGCUGAAAUCUCCCCCUUGGUUUUUUUCACUGCCUUCGGUGCUGUUGAUCCUUUGGGGCAUCUGUCUGGCAGGUGGCUCAUCUCAACCUCAGAUUACUGAAGUGUUGUUCCGAGUAGCUCUGUUGCCCAGAACCCUGGCCUAGUUGAUCUGACUAGUACAGCUGACCAGAACCCCUGCUGGACUGAUGACUUGUGGAUCCAGGCCUGAGGCCACAUCAGGCUCACCACUCUGACCAAGCUGUGCCAGGCACGGGCUCUUGGGCUGCUUCCAGGUCUGCUCUGUCCAGUCCAUUUCAAUCCCCAGCCCCUGCCCUCCUGGUCCCACGCCCCCACCUCCCCCACACCAGCCCCAGCUGCUGAGGUCACCCCAGCAUGGCUGCUGCUGGACCCAUCUUUGGACCCAGGGUGGUAGGACACAGGGCAGCUGGGGGUCGGGAAGCUUGCGCCCAGCUCCCCCAGGCACUGGCUGUGUGAGUCACGAAGCCACCGAGUCAGUUUCCUCAUCUGUAAAGGGGGGUGACAAGUCCAGGAGUUGAGACUACCUGCUGUGCCAGUGAACCUCCACGCACACCCGGGCAUGCCCACUCCCCAGCCCACACAAGCAGGGCGACCCAAAGGGCACAACUCACACCCUCCGCUCCCACCCAGGAUCUGGCCACACAGGAAGAACACAGGCAGCAUCAGCCUCAGAGGAUGAACUCAACUUCAGGCUGCUGUGGACUUGACCUCAAAGGAGAGCAAUGAAGACGGCUGUGCCCUCUGCCCCAUGAGACUCCAGCCAGCUGACCCUUCGCACUCCACUGAGAACAGUUCCUGCCUUCAACUUCAAGUUAAAGGGUACCCAGGGUCUGCAGCUCGGGAUGGAGGGGUGACUCGUAGGCUUCUGGUGCCCAGCAGAUGCUGGAAUCCUGGUUCUGCCACCUGCUAGCUGGGUUGCUUUGGCCCGGUCUUGCAGAUACUUUUCAUAUCUAAAGUGAGAAGCCUUUCA
rnacentral:lncRNA from 1 species